rnacentral:rRNA from 1 species
CACGGGGGGGGUAAGCGUUGUUCGGAAUUACUGGGCGUAAAGGGCUCGUAGGCGGCCAACUAAGUCAGACGUGAAAUCCCUCAGCUUAACUGGGGAACUGCGUCUGAUACUGGAUGGCUUGGAUUCGGGAGAGGAAUGCGGAAUUCCAGGUGUAGCGGUGAAAUGCGUAGAUAUCUGGAGGAACACCGGUGGCGAAGGCGGCAUUCUGGACCGACAUUGACGCUGAGGAGCGAAAGCGUGGGGAGCGAACAGG